AGGAUGAACGCUGGCGGCGUGCUUAACACAUGCAAGUCACGGGGGCCCAGCAAUGGGUAACCGGCGAACGGGUGUGUAACACGUGAGCAACCUACCGAAAUGAGGGGGAUAGCCGGCCCAACGGCCGGGUAAUACCGCAUACGCUCGAGACCAGGCAUUUGGACUCGAGGAAACCUCCGGGGCAUUUCGAGGGGCUCGCGGCCUAUCAGCUAGUUGGUGAGGUAACGGCUCACCAAGGCGACGACGGGUAG
rnacentral:rRNA from 1 species